GAUGAACGCUGACAGAAUGCUUAACACAUGCAAGUCUACUUGAACUUCGGUUUGGGUGGCGGACGGGUGAGUAACGCGUAAAGAACUUGCCUCACAGUUAGGGACAACAUUUGGAAACGAAUGCUAAUACCUGAUAUUAUGAUUUUAGGGCAUCCUAGGAUUAUGAAAGCUAUAUGUGCUGUGAGAGAGCUUUGCGUCCCAUUAGCUAGUUGGAGAGGUAACGGCUCACCAAGGCGAUGAUGGGUAGCCGGCCUGAGAGGGUGAACGGCCACAAGGGGACUGAGACACGGCCCUUACUCCUACGGGAGGCAGCAGUGGGGAAUAUUGGACAAUGGACCAAAAGUCUGAUCCAGCAAUUCUGUGUGCACGAUGACGUUUUUCGGAAUGUAAAGUGCUUUCAGUUGGGAAGAAAAAAAUGACGGUACCAACAGAAGAAGUGACGGCUAAAUACGU
rnacentral:rRNA from 1 species